rnacentral:rRNA from 1 species
AUUGAACGCUGGCGGCAGGCCUAACACAUGCAAGUCGAGCGGAGCGGCGGAAGGGGGAGGUAUGGCUAGGGAUCUGGCUGGUAGGGGGGGGAAACGUCCGGGAACGGGGGCCAAAAACGGAUUCCUAUCGGUGAGCCCAGGUCGGAUUAGCUAGUUGGGGGGGUAAAGGCCUACCAAGGCGACGAUCCGUAACUGGUCUGAGAGGAUGAUCAGUCACACUGGAACUGAGACACGGUCCAGACUCCUACGGGAGGCAGCAGUGGGGAAUAUUGGACAAUGGGCGAAAGCCUGAUCCAGCCAUGCCGCGUGUGUGAAGAAGGUCUUCGGAUUGUAAAGCACUUUAAGUUGGGAGGCGUUACCAACAGAAUAAGCACCGGCUAACUUCGUGCCAGCAGCCGCGGUAAUUC